UAUGCCAGCGGGGCGGUGCUCUGGCUGGUCUCGGCGGACUGGCGGCUGGCGCUGCCAGUUCUGCUGUGGUUCUGCCUCUACGUGGUGCAGC
rnacentral:tRNA from 1 species